ACUUACAGAGACGCUUGGUUAGCUUCGGGAACUCUGAGACAGGCGCUGCAUGUCUGUCGUCAGCUCGUGUGUGAAAUGUUGGGUUAAGUCCCGCAACGAGCGCCAACCUUUAUCCUUUGUUGCCAGCGGUUAGGCCGGGAACUCAAAGGAGACUGCCAGUGAUAAACUGGAGGAAGGUGGGGAUGACGUCAAGUCAUCAUGGCCCUUACGAGUAGGGCUACACACGUGCUACAAUGGCGCAUACAAAGAGAAGCGACCUCGCGAGAGCAAGCGGACCUCAUAAANUGCGUCUGUAGUCCUGGAUUGGAGUCUGCAACUCGACUCCAUGAAGUCGGAAUCGCUAGUAAUCGUAGAUCAGAAUGCUACGGUGAAUACGU
rnacentral:rRNA from 1 species